GACAUCAAGUGAUGCAAGGUGUAGGAGAUCAAUUUUCUUUCCAUAUGCACGUAGAAGACGAUGCGAAAAGAUGCAAUUAGCCAGCUACCAUCAAAUCGAAGUUUAUGCAUGCAGAAGUUGAUGAAUGUCAAGGAACUGUAUGAAAUUCAAUUGAAGAGCAAUGGAUUAGAGCAUAAAGAGGAAAAAAGGCUAAUGAUAACAUAAAAAAUUAUUUAGUAGAAAGAUCAACAAAGCAACAUCUACUUCUAGUAUCUAAUUCCUUUAGCAACCUCAAAAAAAUGAGCAACAUUCUCCUCUGGUGUGCCUACUACAAUUCCAUGACCAAGAUUCAAUAUAUGUUUCCCUUUACCGGCUUUUUUCACAACAUCAUUUAUCCGAGUAGUGAUAAACUCCUUUGAGCCAAAAAGGACACCAGGAUCUACAUUUCCUUGAACUGCCAUAUCAGGUCCCAAUCGCCUCCUACCUUCAGCCAUAUCAACUGUCCAAUCCAAGCUAACUACAUCUACCCCUGUUAAAGCUAGCCUCUCAAGCAAACCUC